UACCUUGCUUAGCGUUGGGGGAGGUAGCAGAUAUUUUUGUGAUCGUAUGUAUCUGCUAAAUGUUCGCUUGUAUCCUUUUGAGCAUCUCACUAUAAACUUCUCAAUUUUUCUAUUCACUCACCCUCAAUGGCUUUAAACCUUAACUGCCCUGGAUCUUAGUAUUGGAAAAAAAUGUGCCAAGAAACAAUGGGAUUGGCCUAUGAAACUGGCAACCCUCUUUUCUUCCAAAUAGUUGCCAGUCUGGGGGUUCUUUGGUUUAUGGGGUGAAUCUAACCAUUUUGAACAAUGCCUUUUAAACUGUAUCAUGUGACUUUGCUAAUCCCAACCUCUGGCAGGGAGUACAGUGUUAGAGAACUCUAAGACGGGGGAGUCAGGCUGCUAUUGGUAGAUGUGGUUGUAACCUCUGAAUUUGGGUGGAGUGGGUUUCUUUGAUGCCUAGAUUCUUUUUUUUUUUCCAUUUUUUUUUUUAAAGAGACAGAGUCUUGCUCUGUCACCCAGGCUGGAUUGCAGUGGCAUGAUCAUAACUCACUGCAGCCUUGAACUCCUUGGCUCAAAAAAUCCUGCCUCAGCCUCUUGAGUAGCGGGGACUGCAGGUGUGUACCACCACUCCUGGCUAAUAUUGUUUUUAAAUUCUUUCUGUAGAGAUGGAGUCUUGCUAUAUGGCCCAGCUGGUAAUGCCUGGAUUCUUGAGUCCCUCCCUGGCUCAUCCCUGGGAGAAGCACCGAACCCCAUGUCUGACACCUGUCCGGAAAUGGAGCCUGCACAUUGACCCUAGGUGCUUGCAGCUUGGUCCAGGACGCCAGCGGGACCAGACAGAAGACCACAGCGACACGUGGGGAUGGCUGUUCCACAGGCAGAAAUGGGCAGCCAGGAGGAAGUCCGGGCAGCCAGCCACCCAGCUCCUUCCACAUCGUGGCCCUAGAACGGAGUCUUGAAGAAUAAGAAGCCACAGCUUGUCAGGGAAUCAGUCUGGAAAAAUGUUAUGAGACCAGAGGUAGGUAGGUUUGGGUACCAGCGAAACAGGGAAGGUGUGGCAGCAGGGAGCAGGGUGCUGGGCACAGAGAG
rnacentral:lncRNA from 10 species